rnacentral:rRNA from 1 species
AAUAGAUACCCGGGUAGUCCACGCCGUAAACGAUGAGUGCUAAGUGUUAGAGGGUUUCCGCCCUUUAGUGCUGAAGUUAACGCAUUAAGCACUCCGCCUGGGGAGUACGGCCGCAAGGCUGAAACUCAAAGGAAUUGACGGGGGCCCGCACAAGCGGUGGAGCAUGUGGUUUAAUUCGAAGCAACGCGAAGAACCUUACCAGGUCUUGACAUCCUCUGACAACCCUAGAGAUAGGGCUUCCCCUUCGGGGGCAGAGUGACAGGUGGUGCAUGGUUGUCGUCAGCUCGUGUCGUGAGAUGUUGGGUUAAGUCCCGCAACGAGCGCAACCCUUGAUCUUAGUUGCCAUCAUUAAGUUGGGCACUCUAAGGUGACUGCCGGUGACAAACCGGAGGAAGGUGGGGAUGACGUCAAAUCAUCAUGCCCCUUAUGACCUGGGCUACACACGUGCUACAAUGGACGGUACAAAGAGCCGCAAGACCGCGAGGUGGAGCUAAUCUCAUAAAACCGUUCUCAGUUCGGAUUGUAGG